UACGUAGGGUGCGAGCGUUAAUCGGAAUUACUGGGCGUAAAGCGUGCGCAGGCGGUUUCUGAAGUCCGUUGUGAAAGCCCCGGGCUUAACCUGGGAAUGGCAGUGGAAACUAGGAGACUUGAAUCUGGCAGAGGGGGGUGGAAUGCCACGUGUAGCAGUGAAAUGCGUAGAGAUGUGGCGGAACACCGAUGGCGAAGGCAGCCCCCUGGGUCAAGAUUGACGGUCAGGCACGAAAGCGGGGGGAGCGAACAGG
rnacentral:rRNA from 1 species